GUUCGUACUGCACUUUCGUCUCACUUCUAAAGGAAGCACUGCCCCUAAGCAAAUCCCAAUGUAUCGAGCUGAUUCUACCACGGAUCACUUUAAGUCUGGGAAGUAUUCACGGAUUAUAUAUAUAUAAAAUAAAUUCGUUGUUCCAUGCUGUCCAUCAGAAUACAACGAUUCGGUAAAGAAUGAACUUUGCUGGUGUAGAGCUCCCAGGCACACGUCCAGGAUUGAGAGCUGACAGAAAACUCUCAUUGUUCUUCUGCUGAGUAAGCUCCUUCCGUUAAGACUUCCCAAAAACUUCUGCCUGCCCUUCAUCCUGUCAACAUCCAAAAAGCCCUCAGCCAUCUGCUGGGGCAAAACAGCGUUGCCAUGGAUACAGAGUCCACCUACUCUGGCUACUCAUACUACUCAGGCCGGUCGAGGGGAUCUCACAGACAUGGAGAGCGUAGCCGGGACCGCCACAAAUCCCGCAGUAAGGAGAGCAGUCGGUCAGAGAAGUCUGUCACUAUCAACGCUCCACCAGCAGAGCCAUUGUUAGGAGAACAGUCAGUGCGAGGAGAAGAGGUUCAGGUGAGAGAGGUUUUCUGUUAUUUACAGGACUGUAUGGUGUGAAUC
rnacentral:lncRNA from 1 species